CAGGUUUCAGACACUAAUUCUCUGCUGGGCAUGCAUCCAGAAGAGGUGUAAGGAGUGACAGACUGAUGGAAAGGCACAGCACCUUGGCUGGACGGGCUCGUCCUGUUUCUGGCAUCGCUGUGAAGAGCCCUCCAGGUGCCCAGCUUCCAGUCUCAGCUCCGAUACUCAGAGGCGUGUGAUGUCCUAGCCUCAGCUUCCCGGUCUGUUCGAUGGAUGAUCAUUUUUCCCCUGACAACUGGGAAAACACAAAGCAAAACACAGCUCCAAUAAAAUUG
rnacentral:lncRNA from 1 species